rnacentral:rRNA from 1 species
CAGUCGCCGCGUAAUACGUAGGGUGCAAGCGUUAAUCGGAAUUACUGGGCGUAAAGCGUGCGCAGGCGGUUAUAUAAGACAGAUGUGAAAUCCCCGGGCUCAACCUGGGAACUGCAUUUGUGACUGUAUAGCUAGAGUACGGCAGAGGGGGAUGGAAUUCCGCGUGUAGCAGUGAAAUGCGUAGAUAUGCGGAGGAACACCGAUGGCGAAGGCAAUCCCCUGGGCCUGUACUGACGCUCAUGCACGAAAGCGUGGGGAGCAAACAGGAUUAGAUACCCGAGUAGUCCCUGUCUCUUAUACA